rnacentral:lncRNA from 1 species
ACUGGACAAGAGCCUCCUCUUUUUCAAAAGGAGCCACAGCCUCUACUCCAGUGAGCUAUGUGGGAGGGAGCCUGCAGGUGCCUGGAGACAACCAGCUUGCACCUGGCUGCAGCUCACAGUCUCCACUCUUGACGAAGCGAGACAGAUGCCCACUGACGCAGACACGUGACAGAUCUGAGUCACCAUCUGUGGGUUGUGGCUCCUCACCAGCCCGGCUUGCAGCCUUUAAGUUUGCCACAGUCUGGCCUCGGGCCGAGUCUCCAUCAUCACCUCGGCCGUUUUCCCUGCUGUCUCCUCUCCUUAAGCAGAAACAUGAUGCGAAUGGGUUCCAGAUCUGUACCUGCUGUCACCCCUGCACACACUCCCAGAGCUGAUAUCACAGGUUAGAUCCCGGUGGUACCAGGCCAGAGGCCCCCACACUUCCACCUGUUGGCCACUACAGGGCUUUGCAAAUAAAGUUUUGUUGUUAUUGUUGUUUU